GAAGACUCUGCUUGACUAGCUGAGAGGAGGUGCAUGGCCGUCGUCAGUUCGUACUGUGAAGCAUCCUGUUAAGUCAGGCAACGAGCGAGACCCACGCCAACAGUUGCCAGCAUGUCCUCCGGGAUGAUGGGGACACUGUUGGGACCGCCUCUGCUAAAGAGGAGGAAGGAAUGGGCAACGGUAGGUCAGCAUGCCCCGAAUUAUCCGGGCUACACGCGGGCUACAAUGGUCAGGACAAUGGGUAUCAACACCGAAAGGUGAAGGCAAUCUCCUAAACCUGUCCUUAGUUCGGAUUGUGGGCUGCAACUCGCCCACAUGAAGCUGGAAUCUGUAGUAAUCGCGUCUCAACAUGGCGCGGUGAAUAUGUCCCUGCUCCUU
rnacentral:rRNA from 1 species